AUUGAACGCUGGCGGAAUGCUUUACACAUGCAAGUCGAACGGUAGAGGGGGCAACCCCUCGAGAGUGGCGAACGGGUGAGUAAUAUAUCGGAACGUGCCCAGUCGUGGGGGAUAACGUAGCGAAAGUUACGCUAAUACCGCAUACGAUCUAAGGAUGAAAGCGGGGGAUCGCAAGACCUCGCGCGAUUGGAGCGGCCGAUAUCAGAUUAGGUAGGUGGUGGGGUAAAGGCUCACCAAGCCAACGAUCUGUAUCUGGUAUGAGAGGACGACCAGCCACACUGGAACUGAGACACUGUCCAGACUCCUACGGGAGGCAGCAGUAGGGAAUUUUGGACAAUGGACGCAAGUCUGAUCCAGCCAUUCCGCGUGCAGGAUGAAGGCCCUCGGGUUGUAAACUGCUUUUGUACGGAACGAAAAGGUCUCUCUUAAUACGGGGGGCUCAUGACGGUACCGUAAGAAUAAGCACCGGCUAACUACGUGCCAGCCGCCGCGGUAA
rnacentral:rRNA from 1 species